GCCAGAACCAAGAAACUCAGGAAGUUUCCAUCCUGCGCAGAACAGCAAGCAAGCAUGACCAGUGCCUCUGUUCUCUCUGCCGCACCCAGUGGUUUUUCGGCACCUUCCAGAUGUGGUGAAUGAGACUCAUUGCAGCCAGCUGUUUCUGAUUGAGCGCUGCAAAUUCAACACUUAAGAAAAUCUGUCAGUUGUGGGAAAGUCUAGAUAAUUCUAGAAGGUCUUCGAAGUCUUCCUUACCCUCCCUACAGCAGUGUUUUAAGUAUUGGGCAUCUAUCAAAUAUAUUUGAAUGAAUACAUCAAUGGGACAGAAGACUGAAACAUGGAGAAGCAGUAUCUCAUGGGAAGUAAGGGUAGAA